AAGCGAUUCGGUGAUCCGAAUUAGGUUUUCAAUAAAUGGGCUCGAUUCGGCAACUGGUUUGGCCCAUUUUUCGGCCCAAAACCGAAAACCGAGUUCGGAUCGUUCGGGUGGUUGGGUAACCGCUAGAUUUGCUCUUGGAUAGCCGACGGAGGGAGCAUCAGUUAUCACGGACUCUCAUCUUCCCUCUCGUUUUAUCAUCCAUGUUUUAUCGGACGGCUGCCGUCGACCCGUCUGAUCUCCACUCACCACCCCAACCGGAAUCAAAUAGCAGGAAAUUUUGGAGGAAGAACCCUGGGGUAACCGUCGCCGCCGCCGGCCAUGGCCGUAGCCAGUCCUUAUCCCUCACCUCCUCGAGGUUCUGCACCCUCUCCCACUCCCUCUCUCGCCUGAGAUUGAUUGUAACCAGAUCGAGGUUCCCGUGCGCUGAUUAAUCCUUUCCUUCCGUGCUGUUCUGUUAGGGCCAAUGUCGGUCUUCAGUGUGCCUGGGGCAUAUGGUUAGGGUUUUGGCCCGUCUCUUAGUUUGGGUGAUGUUCUCUGGUUAAUCCAUAUUGUUACAUGGAGUUGUGCAGAGAGACUGAAUUUGGAGCUGCUGAGUGCCUAUAGAGGCUGGCAGAUUGAGUGUCAGGCUUCAAUUGAGUGGUUUGGGUCUAGUGGGAGAAGUAUAUAAAGAUAACUACAAGUGGUUUGGGUUUCUUUGCUACUAUCUAGGAUCUAGUCCACAUGUAGUUGCUGUAAUCAAGUUCUUUUGUAAUUUAGUAUUGGAAGAAUUGGAGCCAAUCAACAGAGCAGUUCAAUCAAUAAUAAUCAUGAUUGGUUAUUAUGUUUAUAAUCACUUAUAAAAGCAUGGUAGGUUCUAGAUUGUAGGAUAUAUUGUUUAUGCAGACAUGUGUAUAGGACCAGGUAAGCCUCUAUGCGUACCCCUUCGAAGAAUAGAGAUGCAUAGUUUGAUAGUUGGAACUUGUCAAUUGCCAAAAUACCAUUUUCUCUGCAAUAGUUUUUCAGUGCACUUGUGUUUAUUUGAUCUGAGUCAAAUGACAUGGCAAAAUUGUGUUCUUAUGACAUUUUUCUUGUGCAUUGUUCUGCACUCUGUUUUAAUACAGAUUAUGCUGAAAUGAAGAUAUUGGAGUAACCUCUUAGCACGAAAGCUGAGAGCAUCCAGGGUUUCUUCAGUGUUCAUGGAAAUUAUCUUUAUCUCUAUCUUUACUUUUCUAAAGAUCAGAGUUGGUGGCUGCCCAUUCACUCCGCCAAGAUUGGUCCCUAGGCUGCUAGUAAAUCACAGUAGUUGCGACCGAUUCUAUGUGAUAGAUUACAGUAUCACGGUCUUGGGAUUAUAGUUGAUUUGACGUAUAUUUUGAGAUAAUUGUUAUUUAAAACACGACUAGGAAAUAUGAGGGCACAAGCGUUUAAAGUUUAAAUAAUUCAUGCAAUACACUAGCACUUAAGCAACUCAUGCAAUACAUACUUUUAAUUCCUUAGCAACAUACGUGCAUUUAGAUAAUUGAAGUUAAUAUAUUGAUAAUUAUACCGUUGCGCCCUUCUUAUUUUCUUGAUGUAUUGGAGUUUGUCAUCUUCAAAUUUGAAUUUCUAUCUGUGUUCCAGACGUCUACCAGUACUGCAGAAGCCAAUACUCAUCAAAAUAAACUCUACAAGUAUAGUAGGUUCACCAAUAGUCUAAUGAAGGUUGGUGAUCACAGGAGCAAAGCGACAUUGAGAAAUAAACUGAGUUUUAUUAUUACUAUUAUUAUCCAAACAUUACAAGUUGGAGCUCGUUUUCUCUUCUAGUUGCAUCUUACUAUCAAUUUCACAACUUUACUAUGGAUUAAUUUAUUAUAAACUAACCUUUGACUAGAUCGAUGAUUGUCAACUCUCAAUUAUUUGUUGCAUAUGUCCAUUUGCUUACCUUGUGUUGUUUGCAGUGGCAUGGGUCCAGCUUUCCAUCUUUGGUGAGGAAAAGUUGGAAGCAAGCACAUCAAUAUUAUCAUUCGUGUAAGGUAUUUUAGAGAUUAAAUUUGUUUGACAUGUUCGCUAAAUAUGUUGUGGACUUGUUGAAAAAACAUAUAUCCUCAGCAUGAUUCUUACUGUUUCAUUGUCUUAGGAAAUAGAAUAUCAUGUGAUCCUUAUUGCACGAUGCACUACUACUGAACCAAGCCAUCAUUUAAUCCUAGUGAACCUCAAUCUAUGCCUUUCCUGGCUAGAAAUUAAUGCAUGCAAGGGAACAUCUUUGGAACUAAUACUUCCUCCGUCCAACAAAGGAUGUCUCAUCUUUGACUAAAUUUGAAUGCAUCUAUACACUAAGUCAUGUCUAGAUACAUCCAAAUUUUGACAAACUUGAGACAUCUUUUGUUGGACGGAGGGAGUUAGAAAAUUAACCAACAAGUCAACAAUAGAAGUUAAAUAGAAGUAAUGUCUCAUAAGAUGUAUCAUUAUCAUAUUAUGUAUAUUACAUGAAUAUGUAUAUUGCAUGAAACUUCUAAACAUGAUAAAUCAUUUCUACUGUUAUAUUCUGAUAAUCUGAAAGCCAAUAUAGGUAAGUUGAUCAUGAAGCUAGAUACAGUGAAGACUGUUGUUGCUUCUGGUUGUACCAUAUUGUGGAAAAUAAUGUUCACUUUGAAUGAGUUGUAAUCAGUAAUCACCCAUGGUCUCUGCACAACGAUUCCUGGUAGUCAAUAAACGUCGUAUAUGUUAUCCAAUAACUGUCCUAUUGUCUUGAACCAACUAUUGUAACGUCUGCUUCGUACUUCUUAAGUUUGUAAAGAAAAUAAAUAAAUUCAGGAAGCCAUACCUGUUCCACAGCUAGUAAGAGAAACUACUGAUGUUAUGCAGGAGUCCACACAAUAUGGGAAUGCUAAGUACUUAAGUUGAUGUAUAUUUCCAUUGAUUUCAGUAGAUUAUUAAAUGAUGAAAUUGUUCUGCCCAAUCUAUUCAUUAGGAAUUAAGGUGCUGGAUAUUUUUAUUAUCAAUUGAAAACCUUAUAUAAUUUGCAUUAUGUUUUCAUACAUAAACUGUUAGCUCAAUGUAGCAACACUAAUUUGUUUUGACUCAAGUAAUUCCUUGUUACUCCCUCUGAUCCAUAAUAAGUGUCCGGGAUUUAGUACAAAAUUCAUACAAAUUGGUACUACCUCCGUUCCAUAAUUCUUGUCGAAAUUUUACAUGUAUCUAGACACCUUUUAGGAAUAGAUACCAUUUUUUGGCAAAUUUGAGACAAGAAUUAUGAAACGGAGGGAAUACUAAAUGCCCGACACUUAUUAUGGAUCAGAGGGAGUAUCAUUUAAAUGAAUCCCGGUCAUAAAAUGAUAUAAAUGAAUAUUGUAUUCACUACUUAGUAUGACUAUUUAGGACCUAAUUUAUCCAUGUGAUCCACAUGACCUACAUCACUAGUUUGGUUUUGCUGCACAUAUAAUAACCCUGAUAAGAUUUUCUUGCUGUCAUUUUUUCUUGAACCCGUUCACAACAUUCUAUCUGAAAGUUCAGUUCAGACUUCAUAAAAUUUAAGAUCUGCACCAGUAUGCCUUUUUAGAAUGCUCUGCAUGCUGGACAUAAUUGUUGAUUGUGCUUUUUUUGAUUUCUGAAGCACUCAAACAUGAAGUCGGCUCUUUUUUCCUUGUAGAUUUGAUGUGAUAAUUAUUUUCGUCAGUACCUUGUUUCAUGCAGUGGUGUAAUACCAUUUGGUGUAUCUUUGUUAAUUGCUGGGUAUGAUGACAAUGGUCCACAGUUGUACCAGGUGUUGAAAAGUAACUCUUUAUGUGCCCUUCUUCUUUCUUUAUCUUUGCCAACGUUGAAGGCUCAUUGAACCGGAUCACUUUGUCAACAACAACCUGAAAGAAUGUGAUUUUUUUAGAAAUAUCUGUAGGAGAGGCUCUGAUGGUGAGGUAUAUUAAAUAGGAAAAGAUAUAUGUACUUUAAAUAUUUAGAAAAGGGGGGGAGGGGGGGGGCUCCGAGGGCAGGGGACAAGACACAACACAGACCAUUAGGUCACAGAGUCAACCAAAGCAAAGCAAUCUAGAAGAACAGGACGAACUACCUCCUUAUACCCAACAGUUUGGGACAAGACUUCCUGCUUAAGGCUAUUGUACCACCUGCGAAUCAUAGGGACCUCUCUAUCAAAAACCAGAUCAUUGUGUUGCUUCCAAAUGUGCCAGCCUGCCAAAAUAAAGAUCUCCAUGAAGCAAGUUAGCCUAAAAGUAUCUUUGGAAUUUAUGCUAAAAACACAGCCAAAGAAUAAGUGAUCACUAUCUUCAACAGUCAAGUCCCAAGAAAUGCCGAUCUUGCUCCAACAAUUUCUGCUAAAAAUACAUCCAAAGAAUAAGUGAUCGCUACCUUCAACAGUCAAGUCCCAAGAAAUGCUAAUCUUGCUCCAAAAUUUUCUGCUAAAAACACAUCCAAAAAAUAAGCGAUCACUAUCUUCGAGGGAGCUGGAUCCACAAAGAACACAUGAAGCAGAAUUUUAUCUGUGGCCUCUUGGUAAUGAUAUCCUUUGUAUCUAAUUGAUCGUUGAUAAGCAGCCUAGCAAACACCUCCGGAACACAUUUGCUUUUCCACACUCAGCUUAAAAGUCUGUCUGUGGGAAGAUCUGAGAAGUGAAGCCUAUAGUAUUUUUUUUGCCGAGUAUUCUCGAGUACCCCAUGGGUAGGUCCAAACGUCCAGAUUGUCGCCAGUGAGCUGAGUCUCAUUUAUGAUUAACUGAAUAUCUUGAAACUCUUGGAAAGCCUGUUCAGAAAGGGGGAGGCUGAACAAAUCCAGCAAAUCUUCAUAACCUCCUGAACCGAAACAAUCUUGUCCUUGACAUAAGAAAAGCAUCUAGGAAAACGCUGAGCCAGUACACCACUCCAAUUAUCUUUCCAGAAAAGGGAUGAUCUAUCCUUAACCUGACAUGAACCAAAGUUUCUGAAUUUGCGAGCCAGCUUCAUUAUGUCUUCCCAUCCACCAAAAGGAGCCCUUGUUAGGAGUGGAAUGCGGGACACAACUAUCGUAGUAGAAUUGCCAAACAAGGUCAACCCUGGGGAUUUCCUGACGAAGUCUCUACUUUGGGCUCAUAUUUCGUUCGGUGUAUUGUUUAUUGUUUACUUAAUAAAAUGCUGGGCUGAUCCAUCAGGAUCGUAAUUUUCCUGGAAAGCAUCAGCGAUGGGGAGAAAUGUGUCAAAUUCAAAGACUUCUCUUGAGAAGAGGUAAGUAGUUCACAGUUUUCUCACAGGGUUUCCAUAACAUCUUGACUGAUUCUUAACUUGCAGAUACAAAGGGCAAAUCUCUUCUGACAACAUUAAAUCUGGAUAAUCUGAUCUGACCAUGAAUUCAAGCAUGUGGUAUACCGAAUCAAGUUUGCCCCAUCUUUCUCCUACUUGGGAACUUUGUCGUACUCAGUUUUUAGAUAUUUAUCAGCUGUUUUGUUUCUUAGGUAGUAUAUGCUUGUGCUUCUACUUUUGUUUUACCCGAAUAUAGUCUCAUAAGAGGUAAAACUUUAAUCUACUGACAUUGAUUUCCCUUGCAUCUGAUGAUCUAUCGCCACUUUGCUUAUGGAAUCUGUUUGACGGAAGUACAUGCCCUCCUGUUGCAAUGAAAUGGUUUAUUACAUGCAAAAAUACAUUGUUCUGGGCAACCGCAGAGAUCAAAGAUUUCUUGCAAGAGGUAAAGUCGUCCUUUGACAAUUCCCUGAUCCGAACAAGCGAUGCAACUGGGCAGCUGUCCCCAAAGUUUCCCAUGUGUAUCUUUCCCAAUUUUGUACACUGAUUAGCUCCACCUCCACUGAUGGACAACAAGGCUGAGGGGCAUCAGAAACAAAAUAGAGAUCAAACCAGACCAUGUAGGUAGAAAAUUGAGUGUUGGUCGUUGUCAGAAAGCGUCGGAUUCUCCCUAAUUGUCAGCAGUUAGUCUUAGUCGAAGGUGUGCCAUGUAUGAGGAGAUCUAUCGCUGUCAUACAAGAUUAUUCGUUCGUACGAAGUGUCCAGCUAACUUUCUAACUUAUAAGCGCUGACUGACGUAUAAUUAGCCGACCGGCUGACACACACAGGUAGCAAAUAGUGGAGACUCAAACAAUGACCAGGCCUGUUCCGGUGGUUAGUGGAAGUCGUUGUAGGCUUGUAGCCUCUAUGUCUUACUUAAGGGUGUUUCCGCAUGUAUUCAGUGUUCCUAAAUGAUUUAUUUAUUUAUUUUGAGCUGGCGUUCCUAAA